rnacentral:lncRNA from 1 species
CCACUAUAAUCCAAGAAGAUGCAAGAAAUUACUUUGAUACUUUUGUAUUUGUUAAGACUUGCUUCUAGGCCUAAGUUUUAGAGAAAUUCUCAAGGGCUGCUGAGAAAAAAAUGCCCUCCACAGCUGCGGCUAAAGCGCUCUGCAACAGGCUAGAACUAACUACACACAUACAAGAGAAGUGGGAUUUGAGUGGAGUCGGUGUGCUGCAUGAAGGUGAACUUCCAGAGUGUGCUGCUUUCUUUCAGCUGCAUAAGGGAAACUAGGACCGGCUCCAUGGGAUCUCUCUGCAUUGAUUCUUCAGGCUCUAUGUGAAUCUAUUGUCUUCAAAGAUUU